ACGGGGUGCAGCAGGCGCGAAAACUUUGCAAUGUGCGCAAGCACGACAAGGUUAAUCCGAGUGUUUCCUGCUAAAGGAAUCUUUUGCUAGUCCUAAAAACACUAGCGAAUAAGGGGUGGGCAAGUUCUGGUGUCAGCCGCCGCGGUAAAACCAGCACCUCAAGUGGUCAGGAGGAUUAUUGGGCCUAAAGCAUCCGUGGCCGGCUCUGUAAGUUUCCGGUUAAAUCCAUUAGCUUAACUGAUGGGCCGCCGGAAAAACUGCAAAGCUAGGGAGUGGGAGAGGUAGACGGUACUCGGUAGGAAGGGGUAAAAUCCUUUGAUCUAUUGAUGACCACCUGUGGCGAAGGCGGUCUACCAGAACACGUUCGACGGUGAGGGAUGAAAGCUGGGGGAGCAAACCGGAUUAGAUACCCGGGUAGUCCCAGCUGUAAACGAUGCAGACUCGGUGAUGCACUGGCUUGUGGCCAGUGCAGUGCCGCAGGGAAGCCGUUAAGUUUGCCGCCUGGGAAGUACGUACGCAAGUAUGAAACUUAAAGGAAUUGGCGGGGGAGCACCACAAGGGGUGAAGCCUGCGGUUCAAUUGGAUUCAACGCCGGG
rnacentral:rRNA from 1 species